GCCUACGGCCGUACCACCCUGAAAGCGCCCGAUCUCGUCUGAUCUCGGAAGCUAAGCAGGGACGGGCUUGGUUAGUACCUGGAUCGGAGACCGCCUGGGAAUACCAGGUGUUGUAAAGC
rnacentral:rRNA from 1 species